rnacentral:rRNA from 1 species
GAACCGUGCGAACGUUGUUCGGAAUCACUGGGCGUAAAGGGAGCGUAGGCGGUUUGGUAAGUCAGAUGUGAAAUCCCGGGGCUCAACCCCGGAACUGCAUCCGAUACUGCCAGACUUGAGUAAUGGAGAGGUAGCUGGAAUUAUCGGUGUAGCAGUGAAAUGCGUAGAUAUCGAUAGGAACACUCGUGGCGAAAGCGAGCUACUGGACAUUUGCCGACGCUGAGGCUCGAAGGCUAGGGGAGCGUAAGGGAUUAGAUACCCCUGUAGUCCUAGCAGUAAACGGUGCACGCUUGGUGUGAGGGGAAUCGACCCCCCUUGUGCCGGAGCUAACGCGUUAAGCAGGCCGCCUGGGAAGUACGAGCGCAAGCUUA